AAAAAGUCUGCUCCUGCAAAUGGUAUUUGAGUAGGAUGCGCUGACCAGUUUGUAGAGGAGGAAGGCGUGGGUUCAGUGCCUUCUUUUGCUUAAGGAGAUAUAUUUCACUCUUAAGUUUCUUUAGCCACCAGCUGUUCUUGGUUGACCUCUUUUUGAACUUCCUCCAUUUUGCAAAACACAAUAAAAGAUUCAUUGCCUCAGAGAUGCAGAUAAAGGAGGAAUGCCUGGAUCACAGAGUAGCAUCCAGAGAACGCAGGGAGAGCUUUUCUAGAAGAAAAGAUAUGAUGAUGUCUUCCUGGAAACACUGCAGAGACUUAACAGGGACCACUAAGGUGAAAGCAGAGAUCCAAGAUUAAGACUUUUCAGCAGCUGUCUGGAAAGACUUCCUUUCAAGCAAUUACUGUUGCCAGAAAGGUAAAUGACAGCUUCAUUUGUUGCCCAAAAUGUUAAGAAACCAUUAAAUGC
rnacentral:lncRNA from 1 species